rnacentral:rRNA from 1 species
GGCUCAGGAUGAACGCUAGCUACAGGCUUAACACAUGCAAGUCGAGGGCAGCAUGUCGGUUGCUUGCAACCGAUGAUGGCGACCGGCGCACGGGUGAGUAACGCGUAUCCAACCUACCCUUGUCCAUCGGAUAACCCGUCGAAAGGCGGCCUAACACGAUAUGCGGUUCUCAGCAGGCAUCUAACGAGAACGAAAUGUGAAGGAGAAGGAUGGGGAUGCGUCUGAUUAGCUUGUUGGCGGGGUAACGGCCCACCAAGGCGACGAUCAGUAGGGGUUCUGAGAGGAAGGUCCCCCACAUUGGAACUGAGACACGGUCCAAACUCCUACGGGAGGCAGCAGUGAGGAAUAUUGGUCAAUGGACGGGAGUCUGAACCAGCCAAGUAGCGUGCAGGAUGACGGCCCUAUGGGUUGUAAACUGCUUUUAUAGGGGGAUAAAGUGUGCCACGUGUGGCAUAUUGCAGGUACCCUAUGAAUAAGGACCGGCUAAUUCCGUG